GUCGAACGAUGAAACUUUAAUGAACCCUUCGGGGAGAAUUAAAGCGGAUUAGUGGCGAACGGGUGAGUAACGCGUGAGUAACCUGCCUCACACAAGGGAAUAGCCUUUGGAAACGAAGAAUAAUACCCUAUAAAACCAUAAAAGCACAUGCAAUUAUGGUCAAAGUAUUAGCGGUGUAAGAUGGACUUGCGUCUGAUUAGCUAGUUGGUGAGAUAAAAGCCCACCAAGGCAACGAUCAGUAGCCGGCUUGAGAGAGUGUACGGCCACAUUGGGACUGAGACACGGCCCAGACUCCUACGGGAGGCAGCAGUGGGGAAUUUUGCACAAUGGGGGAAACCCUGAUGCAGCGACGCCGCGUGAUUUAGAAGGCCUUCGGGUUGUAAAAAUCUUUUGUAUAGGAAGAAAAUGACAGUACUAUACGAAUAAGGUCCGGCUAAUUACGUGCCAGCAGCCGCGGUAAUACGUAAGGACCGAGCGUUGUCCGGAAUCAUUGGGCGUAAAGGGUACGUAGGCGGCUAGAAAAGUUAGAAGUCAAAGGCUAUAGCUCAACUAUAGUAAGCUUCUAAAACUAUUUAGCUUGAGAGAUGGAAGGGAAAGUGGAAUUCCUAGUGUAGCGGUGGAAUGCGCAGAUAUUAGGAGGAUACCGGUGGCGAAGGCGACUUUCUGGCCAUUUUCUGACGCUGAGGUACGAAAG
rnacentral:rRNA from 2 species